UACUGUAUUACUGUGCAAACUAUAUGGAAACACCAAAUGUAGCACAUAGAAAGUAUUUGUUGAAAUGAUUAUAAAACGAUUUCACUUGGUAAUUUCUACAUUAUUUUACUAUAGUAAACUUAAUUAUAAAAUACUGCUUACAUACUAUUUUACUGUGCAAACUAUAUGGAAACACCAAAUGUAGCACAAAGAAAGAAUUAAUUGAAAUGAAUGUUAGUUCUACAUUAUUUUACUAUGGUAAACUUUAUUAUGAAAGACUGUGCUAUGUUUUUACUUACUAGGUUUUAAGGAGAAUGCAACAUGUUCCAGGGCCUCUUACCUGCGUGAUUCAUCAUCCAGAUAUGCUUGGAGCUUCCUGAUUGGAAUGUUGGCUUCCGACGACCCCUGCACUGAAGAUGGCAUGCAAUCACGUCCUCCUUUGAAGGUUUCUCAAACUGUGAUGCCAGGUCCAUUGGAAUCGGGGUUUCCUUCAGCUUAUCUUCAAAUACCUCAUCAAAUACAAGCCUGAUCACAUCAUCCACAUAACUGUAGAAAUAUUGCAGUCAAUAAAUCUUUUGUUUUGAUCAUUUA